UACAGAGGGUGCGAGCGUUAAUCGGAAUUACUGGGCGUAAAGCGCACGUAGGCGGCUUGGCAAGUCGGAUGUGAAAUCCCUCGGCUCAACCAAGGAAGUGCAUCCGAAACUGCUGAGCUUGAGUACUUAAGAGGAUCGCGGAAUUCCCGGUGUAGAGGUGAAAUUCGUAGAUAUCGGGAGGAACACCAGUGGCGAAGGCGGCGAUCUGGGAAGAUACUGACGCUGAGGUGCGAAAGCGUGGGGAGCAAACAGG
rnacentral:rRNA from 1 species